AGUCAUCAUUGAGAAGUCCUGGUUCAACAUGGUUCAUCCCUCUGAGGCUCACACAGUGCUCGUUACCCUGCCAGUUGUCUGGCUGAUUCGGCGCCCACGGCUGAAAAUCCUGAUGGACACAAAAAAAAUUCAGACCAGAUCCCAAAGUCCUGCUGUGUUUCUGGGCCAUCCAGGACCAAAGUUGGAAAAGGUAAUCGGGCUCCUGUCCACCCAGGACAUACAUUAAAUAUGUUACAUUGUAUGGAUUACCUGAUAAUCCAAUCCACAUGUCCGGAAUGUCUACCUGAUGGAAGUCUGGGAGUUUUCCGUUGACGAAGUACUGCUCUUCCUGACUGCACAAUGUGACACAUUAAUGCUCGGCUCCCAUGCUGGAGCACUUAUCCUGAGCUUCGUGCCACGUGGUUAGCAGGCCGGUGUUGCUGACCGUCCAGUAGCAGCUGCCAUUGAAGCCGUCCCAUCCAGGAGGGCAGAUGGCUAAAGGGGGAUCGGAUG